CUGGGGAGUAGUAGUUAAAGUUAUCGUUUGUUGUUUGCUGUAUGAAUCUGAAGAUAUCGGAUUUUAUAAAGAUUAAGAGAUCUAUACAAAAAUGUUGAAGGUUACUAUUGUUGCAUUGUUAUGCAUUCUACUCUGUGUGGUGUCUGCUAAAGAAAAUGAAAAAAAAGACAAGGAUUCUCAAGACAAAAUGAAAAAAUAUUGUGAUGAAAAUCCUUUGUUGUGUCCAAGUGAGGGAGAUGCUGGUAAACAAAGUAAGAAUAAAAACAAACAUGAAGGUAAAACAUCCCAAUCAAACUCGAAAAAACUGAUUAAGAUGAAGGAGUAGGCAGUAACCGUGCUAACGGUGGAAGAAUGAAAACUGCAUUUUAUGGUUAUACUAUUUAGACAUUACUUUUUUUAGCCAUAGAGUAUACAAUUUGUUUUAUAUAUUCCGCAGUUUUCUACAAAUCAUAUUAACGCAGUUAACAGAUAUGAAAAUUACUUGGAUAGAAUGCGAAUUUGUAGACAUUUAAGCUUAACUAAGUCGUUUUCUCAGCAAGAAUGCUAUCUAUCAUUUUGUUAAAUCAUUUAAUGAUUUUGAUACGUGUAAAAAAUUAUUUCCAAAAUAUUUAUCAUUAUUGCUUUGUUCUUGUUGAUUAUAUA